AGUGCCGGCGAUUUUUGCUCAUUUUGUGGAAAACCCCUAAAAAAGUCACUUAUUUAGAAAACUCCUUCCACCUAUGACCUCUCUCACAAGUCGUCUUCCCCUUUCCUCACGCCCACGCGAUGCCGUCGCCACCGCCGCCUGCCGCUCCGGCCACCGCCGGCUGAAUCUUCCGCGGCAGCUGGCCGGUAAUACAACGUCGCCAUCUCCUCCCUUGGUUCCCCGCCGUUGCGGCCCUCUCCAGCACCCACGCGCAAGCGCCCGUGAAACCCUAGCCGUGGAGGCGGCGUGCCCGCCCGGCACCGAGCGCACUCUCCGUAGGAUCCCUCGCCGCCAUGGGCUGCUUCCUCUCCUGCUUCCGCGGCCGCCCCGGCAGCGCCUCCGGCGACGGCCGCCCCGGCAGCGUCUCCGGCGACGGCCUCCAGGACCCGCUCGUGCGCGCGAGCAGCCUCGGGGACGCCUUCCUGGACGACCGCGACGACGACGCAGCAAAACUUGCAGCGGGCGGAGACCUGGAUGAGGAUUUGGGGAACUGUGACGACGAACUCAGGCGAGAGGGAUUAAAGUUCUAGAGAUAUAGAUAGAAAUGUUGCUCAAGAUGCUCGAAGGAAUUCAUAACAAUCAAGUUCACAAGGAUUCAACUCCAGCAGAUACUACUCACAUCGAGCUUGUGGUGUCUGCUGGUUUUGUUCUAUUUUUCGAUUUUGUUGCUGGUCCUUUUCCUGCUAUCGGUGAGCUUUUGGUCAUGUGUGCUGGACAACAUUGCCAGUGGGUCACAGGGGCCGGGAAGGAAACGGCGUGGAAUGGUCGAUCCCGAGGGUGCAGAGGUGCUUUGAGCUCCGCCUCUCUGACCGCCACAUCCUAAAGUUCAGUUACGCGUGUGUAAUUAUGGUUCAGUUCCAUGCACCAAUCAUGGAUACCUCUACCAAGUCGUUCUCGCCGUUUGGUAUGGAGGUCUUUCUCCUCGACAUGAAACUCGCAUCUGAAUCUGUCCCCAUGGAUUUGGGAGCCCCGACCUAAUUUACCAUGUUCGCAUCCAGGUAACACACACCAGUGAUAUCACCAAUCCUCCUUGAUUUUACAGAGUUCAUAUAGGAUGCCUCUUUUGCUGGUAACAAAUGAAGUAUAAACUUUUUGUCUGUUGUUUUAGUUGAGGGACAUGACAGAUUAGGUUUUAGUUUUCAUAUAUGACCAAUAUUGAUUGAUUCCAUAAUACUGAUUUAUUACAACUUUUUACUAAAUCAGAGUCAAUUAAUAGGGAACACAGGGAGUACUUGCUUGCUUAUAUCACACCCUUUUCAUGCUACCCCCUUCAAAAAAAAGAUUGGCAAUUGAAAUUCUUUGGACUAAUCAACAGUUGACAAAAAACAUUCAACCUGCUGUCGACGAUGUCCAGUCUUAUUCACUUGCAUUUCUUUUCACAUUUAAUGACAUGACACUUUCCUUUGAAUCUUUUACUAGUUCAUUGCUCUCUGAUCUGCUUAUAUUUUGAUUAGUUUUUAUUUAACCUUUUGUUGUGUAGAAUAAGAUUGUAUAGGGAUCUGUCGAUGUCGAACUAUUCUUAGAGGCUGCACUUGGUUUAUAUUAUGGGAAAGUAAACAAACCUGACAGGCUAAAGGUGAUCAUUGUAUUGCUUACUGCUUAGGGACAUGUUACAGUUACACAAUCAAACAUGAAUUGGAUUUAUUGUGUUCUCAGCUACUCAACUUACCUCUAAUUCGGAACAUACAUUCUGUAGGCUCUUUUACUUCUUGCACGCUCCAUUGAGGCAGAUCCAAGCACAAUUAUUCCGUGGGUGUUUUAUCUUCAUAUUUACUAUCAAAAGGAUGAAGGACUUGGAACAUUUUCAGUGAACUGCAGGAGGGUGGGUGGAGGGCGGAGGGCGCGCUCACCGGUGCUCUGGCAUCAUGCUCGACGUGAACCUGGUUGUGGCGUCGGGGACGUGAACCUGGUUGUGGCGUCGGAUGCAUGGCGCGGAUGGCGCAACUUCCUCUGGCCGCACGACGAGGCAUCUGGCCGCGCAGCGAGGCAGGGCCCAAACUCCAUGACAACUUUCUUCCUCGGCGGCAGAUGAACCCUGUUGUUCAUGAUGAGGAGAUCAACCCUGUUGUGUAUUUUAUCUAAUGGUUUCAAACCAUGUUGUUCAUGAUGUGGAGAUGAACCCUGUUGGUCAUGUAAGUUAGAUGCCUGGAUUGUGAAUCCUUGAAUGUUUCAAAAUAUUGGUUUCAAACCUAGAUUGCUUGGAAAUAUUGGUUUUAAACA